rnacentral:rRNA from 1 species
CAGUAGCCACGGUAAUACGGAGGAUCCGAGCGUUAUCCGGAAUUAUUGGGUUUAAAGGGUGCGUAGGCGGAUAGAUAAGUCAGUGGUGAAAGACGGUGGCUCAACCAUCGCAGUGCCGUUGAUAUUGUUUAUCUUGAAUAUGGAUGAGGUAGGCGGAAUGUGGCAAGUAGCGGUGAAAUGCAUAGAUAUGCCACAGAACACCGAUUGCGAAGGCAGCUUACCAAGGCAAAAUUGACGCUGAGGCACGAAAGCGUGGGGAUCGAACAGGAUUAGAUACCCCAGUAGUCCCUGUCUCUUAUAC